rnacentral:rRNA from 1 species
UUUUACAAUGGAGAGUUUGAUCCUGGCUCAGGAUGAACGCUAGCUACAGGCUUAACACAUGCAAGUCGAGGGGAAACGACAUCGAAAGCUUGCUUUUGAUGGGCGUCGACCGGCGCACGGGUGAGUAACGCGUAUCCAACCUGCCCACCACUUGGGGAUAACCUUGCGAAAGUAAGACUAAUACCCAAUGAUAUCUCUAGAAGACAUCUGAAAGAGAUUAAAGAUUUAUCGGUGAUGGAUGGGGAUGCGUCUGAUUAGCUUGUUGGCGGGGUAACGGCCCACCAAGGCAACGAUCAGUAGGGGUUCUGAGAGGAAGGUCCCCCACAUUGGAACUGAGACACGGUCCAAACUCCUACGGGAGGCAGCAGUGAGGAAUAUUGGUCAAUGGACGAGAGUCUGAACCAGCCAAGUAGCGUGCAGGA